UACAUAGGUCUCAAGCGUUGUUCGGAUUCAUUGGGCGUAAAGGGUGUGUAGGUGGCGCCGUAAGUCGGGUGUGAAAUUUCGGAGCUUAACUCCGAAACUGCAUUCGAUACUGCGGUGCUUGAGGACUGGAGAGGAGACUGGAAUUCAUGGUGUAGCAGUGAAAUGCGUAGAGAUCAUGAGGAAGACCAGUGGCGAAGGCGGGUCUCUGGACAGUACCUGACACUGAGACACGAAGGCCAGGGGAGCAAACGGG
rnacentral:rRNA from 1 species